rnacentral:rRNA from 1 species
CCUACGGGGAGCAGCAGUCGGGAAUAUUGCGCAAUGGAGGAAACUCUGACGCAGUGACGCCGCGUGCAUGAAGAAUGUUUUCGGAUUGUAAACUGCUUUCUACAGGGAAGAAACAAGACAAUACCUGUAAAAUAAUCUCCGUCUAACUACGUGCCAGCAGCCGCGGUAAGACGUAGGGAGCAAGCGUUAUCCGGAAUUAUUGGGUGUAAAGGUUGCGUAUACGGGAAGUCAAGUUGGUUUUGAAAUCCCUCGGCUUAACUGAGGAACUGCAACCAAAACUAACUUUCUUGAGUGCUGGAGAGGAGAGUGGAAUUCCUGGUGUAGCGGUGAAAUGCGUAGAUAUUAGGAGGAACACCAGUGGAGAAGGCGACUUUCUGGACAGUAACUGACGUUGAGGCACGAAAGUGUGGGGAGCAAACAGGAUUAGAUACCCGAGUAGUC